rnacentral:misc_RNA from 1 species
GAUGAAGAACGUAGCGAAAUGCGAUAAGUAAUGUGAAUUGCAGAAUUCAGUGAAUCAUCGAAUCUUUGAACGCACAUUGCGCCCCUUGGUAUUCCGAGGGGCAUGCCUGUUCGAGCGUCAUUAUAACCCUCAAGCUCAGCUUGGUGUUGGGGCCUGCUGCACUGGCAGCCCUUAAAAUCAGUGGCGGCGCCAUCUGGCUCUAAGCGUAGUAAUUCUUCUCGCUAUGGAGUCCUGGUGGAUGCUUGCCAUCAACCCCCAAUUUUUCUAUGGUUGACCUCGGAUCAGGUAGGGAUACCCGCUGAACUUAAGCAUAUCAAUAAGCGGAGGA